UGCACUGGAGAGGCCACGGGUCGCUCAGAGGACAAGCAAUCAAACAGAGCACCUGCACUGGAGAGGCCACGGGUCGCUCAGAGGACAAGCAAGUCAGACAGAGCAAUCACACUGGAGAGGCCACGGGUCGCUCAGAGGACAAGCAAUCAGACAGAGCACCUGCACUGGAGAGGCCACGGGUCACUCAGAGGACAAGCAAGUCAGACAGAGCAAUCGCACUGGAGAGGCCACGGGUCGCUCAGAGGAC